AAGGAUGUCAUGGAAACACCAUAGCUGUCAAUUCCAAGAUUGGUAUGGCUGUCCAAAUCUUCAAAUAGACCUGAAGACGGAGAAUAUAACAAUGCCCACACCUGCUGUCGCGAACAAGGAUCCAUCCCAGCAGUUGGUUCAUCAAGUAGUAAAACCUUUAAAGAGGUUUCUGAUCCCCAUUUCAACUUAAUCACAGACUGCUGAAGCUCAUGGAAAAAGUCCUGUCCUCUGUGUCUACUCUAUGAAAC